UUCGGAUCGGAGUCUGCAACCCGACUCCGUGAAGCUGGAUUCGCUAGUAAUCGCGCAUCAGCCAUGGCGCGGUGAAUACGUUCCCGGGCCUUGUACACACCGCCCGUCAAGCCAUGGGAGCCGGGAGUGCCUGAAGUGCGUGACCGUAAAAGGNGCGCCCUAGGGCAAGACCGGUGACUGGGGCUAAGUCGUAACAAGGUAGC
rnacentral:rRNA from 1 species